AAAUAACAUUUCAAAAGUAACAUACCCUCAUUGUAGAAACUUGCACAUACAAGUUUUAAUAUUUUAUUGACUUCAGAGAGGAAGGUUGAGGGAGAAAGAAACAUCAAAGAUGAGAACCAUCCAUUGGCUGCCUCCCGCUCGGCCCCCACUGGGGAUGGAGCCCGGAACCUAGACACGUGCCCUUGAACCGGAACCGAACCUGGGACCCUUUAAUCCGCAGGAGGUCGCUCUAUCCACUGAGCUAAACCAGCUAGGGCCGUGUUGUUUUUAAGGGUGAAAUGUCCCCUGUGGGAGACUUGGACGAUCCAGUUCCACUAACUGUGGACAAGCCACUGGUCUGCCCCAGCCACCCAGUUCCCAAGACGAGAUUUUUGUUGAAGUUGGAAUGGGAUUCCUUCACCAUUCUGGCAUGGCAUUCAAGGCCCUCCGUGACUAGCCACUCCA